rnacentral:rRNA from 1 species
UACGUAGGUGGCAAGCGUUGUCCGGAAUUAUUGGGCGUAAAGCGCGCGCAGGUGGUUUCUUAAGUCUGAUGUGAAAGCCCACGGCUCAACCGUGGAGGGUCAUUGGAAACUGGGGAACUUGAGUGCAGGAGAGAAGAGUGGAAUUCCACGUGUAGCGGUGAAAUGCGUAGAGAUGUGGAGGAACACCGGUGGCGAAGGCGGGUCACUGGUCCGGGUACUGACGCUGAGGCGCGAAAGCGUGGGGGAGCAAAACAGGGAUUAGAACUCCGUAGUCA